rnacentral:rRNA from 1 species
CAGUCGCCACGGUAAUACGAAGGGUGCAAGCGUUACUCGGAAUUACUGGGCGUAAAGCGUGCGUAGGUGGUGGUUUAAGUCCGUUGUGAAAGCCCUGGGCUCAACCUGGGAAUUGCAGUGGAUACUGGGUCACUAGAGUGUGGUAGAGGAUAGUGGAAUUUCCGGUGUAGCAGUGAAAUGCGUAGAGAUCGGAAGGAACAUCUGUGGCGAAGGCGACUAUCUGGGCCGACACUGACACUGAGGCACGAAAGCGUGGGGAGCAAACAGGAUUAGAUACCCCCGUAGUCCCUGUCUCUUAUAC